CACAGACAGACAUCCACACAUCCACAAACAGACAUCCACAAACAGACAUCCAGACAUCCACAAACAGACAUCCAGACAUCCACAAACAGACAUCCACACAUCCACAAACAGACAUCCACACAUCCACAAACAGACAUCCACACAUCCACAAACAGACAUCCACAGACAUCCACAGACAUCCACAAACAGACAUCCAGACAUACACAGACAUCCACAAACAGACAUCCAGACAUACACAGACAUCCACAAACAGACAUCCACAAAGAGACAUCCACAAA